rnacentral:rRNA from 1 species
UACGUAGGAGACGAGCGUUGUCCGGAGUUACGUGGCGUAAAGGGUGCGCAGGUGGCGGCGCGCGUGGGGGGUGAAAUCGCCCGGCUUAACUGGGCGGGGGCCUUCCAGACGGCGUGGCUUGAGCAGCGGAGGGGGACGUGGAAUUCCGGGUGGAGCGGUGAAAUGCGCAGAUAUCAGGAGGAACACCGGUGGCGAAGGCGGGUCUCUGGGCCGUAACUGACGCUGAGGAGCGAAAGCAUGGGGAGCGAACAGG